GUCUAUGGCCAUACCACCUGAAUAUGCCAAAUCUUGUCUGAUCUCAGAAGUUAAACAGGGUCAGGCUUGGUUAGUACUUGGAUUGGAGUCCAAUAUAAAAAUGAAAAAUUAUAGGAC
ensembl:rRNA 5S_rRNA 5S ribosomal RNA